UUGUCUCCUGGGACUCAGCUGAGUUGACCCACUGCGGAGUUAUAGUGGCUGCGGUGACCGUGUGUCAACUAAGUGUCAUGCACAUUGGUACCAGUUUCACGUGAAUGAGAAUGGGUUCAAUUCCCUAAAAUAAUACUGUCCGGGAGCAGCCAAUGACCGGGAGAGACAACAGGGACAUCCGGGAAGUCUCACGGCCUCUGCUCUCAGGCGGCAGUGUCCCCGAGUCCCCUUGGGAGGAACUGAGGGUGACACCUGGUGCUCUGGCCUAGUGUGGCAGUCCUGGCAGCACCAGCACUGGGCAGGGCCUUCCCAUGGGCCCAGCUGGCAUGAGCGGUUAUGCCCCGCUAAAUGGUCAGAUCACUGUCACCACUGGUGUUUGGUCAGCCAGCCUGACCCCCCCAAAUGACACGUCUGUGUCCUCAUCCCCAGGAGCUGAGAAUGUGGUCUUGUUUGGCAAAAGGGCCUUUGCAAAAGUCCAGAGGCAGAAACCCGGGCGUGGGGAGGCCGUGUUCCGGGGGCCUUCCUGCUGCCUCAGCGACCCUUGGCUUGGGGCCACGUCUCCCAGCCUCCACCUGCAUCGGCACUGCCCUCUGUCUUCCUCGUCCCUCUCAGGACACUGUCAUUGGAUCUGGAGCCCAGCCCAGUAUCCAGGACCGUCUCAGCUCCGGGACUUGACCUUUGAUCAUGUGCAUGAAGACCAUGUUUCCAAGUCAGGUCCCACUUAGAUUCCAGGUGACGCCUCCUUUCGGGGCUCAGCCACCACAGCAGCAGAACCAAGCUGUAACGCAGUGCAGGGUGGGGCCAUUUCUGUGAGUUAAGGUGUGUGUGGGUGGACACACACAGGCCUGCCUGCUGGUUUCAGGGGCUGGGUGACUCCGCUGGCCCGGGCCCUGGGCUGGGAGGGGCUCAGGCUCAGCUUUCCCUGAUACACGUAUGCAGCCUGCGGGUUCAAGUGACCAGGCACUGGCUUUAUUAUUGAAAAGGAGGCCUGGGAGGGAAGGAAGCCGCCAGCCCCUCCGGUACCCCCACAUGUCCGGGAAGGUUCUGUGGGACCGAGGGUGCAGGUCCUGGGCUGGCGCCCAGCAUUGUGCCAGGACAAGGGCUGCCUCUAGCCUCCCAGGCCCUGACCCUGACUGAGACCCAGCCUGAUGCGGGGCUGCUGGGAGAAAGGCACAGACGGGGAAGUUGGUCUGAAAAGCUGAGCAUCCUGGUGACUCUGGUGUCUCAUGAGACCCUGGGCACACUCGUGCGUCUUUCCCAGGACGCAGUGUCCACUCACUGUGCUCACUGGGCACGUGCUGGCUGUGCUGCUCUCGCUAUAAAGUGCCUCACACGUGCUAGGCAAGCGCUCUGCCGUUCAGCCCCAGCCCCAGCCCCACAGCAACCAUCUUCAUUGAGCGAACUUACUGGUAACUGAGAUUCACAGAUAACCCAGAAAUUUGGGAGUGACAGCCUAGAAAGGCGAAUGCUCCUUGGCCCUGGAGAGAAGGGCAGCACCAUCAUUCUCCAUGGAACAAGCCCGUCCCAGACCAUGUGCCGGGCCCUUUCGGGCAUACAAAGUGUUCAGAAGGGCGUGGUUUCCUGGUUCCCCGUGCUGUGGAGAGGACUUUCAGCAGGGGUGGGCUGAUAUGCCUGGCGGCAUGGCACCCUCCCUGGCUUGCAGGCACACCCACUGUCCCCAGUGUCCUGGGUAGUGUCUGAGGGGGGCCAUGGAUGUGGCAGCGCCUUGCUCACUGUGGUGAGGAGUCACCUUUAUCAAACUCAGUGGCCAGGCAUGGGCUCCUGUGAGCCGGGAGGCCUGGCUGGGGUACCUGGGGAAGGCUCAUACCAGGUGUAGGGGGCUGCACAACCUGUCAGACCAUGUGGGCGGCUGGUCUAGCACUGAAGGGGUGUGGCAUCUGGCGGUCACACUGCUGGAUAGCCCUAUCUUCUAGGGUAUAAGCGACUGUGUCUUUGUGCAGGGGCGUGUCUCUCCACAUCCCCAGGGAUCCAGUUACCUCAUCUGUCCUUGUAACCCUGCCCACCUUGACCUUCAUUGGACGGGAUUUCCUAAGAAUUUAGAUUCCCCUAAUAAAAGCUCACUCCAAAGCAUGCUUGCUCCCUCUCACCGGCCUCUUGUGUAGUUCCUCGCUCUCCCAUUUGGAGAGCUUGAGGCCGAGGGCAGAGGAGUUGUCCCGGAGCUUGGUUUAAAGGUGAA